rnacentral:lncRNA from 1 species
AUGUGCCAUCCUUCUGUCAGAAAACACCGCAGAGAUGAAGAAAUGAGAACUCCAGAAACCAAAGACCUUGCUCUUUUGUCAAACAGACUUGGUAGAGCAGAGUUGCAAAAUCAGACCUUCGGGGCUUGCGUGUUUCUCCUCUUACUCCCUGGUGUAGUUUUUAUAACUGACCUUCUGCCUAAUUCUACUCUUCGCUCACACUUCCCUGCCUGGACAGAAGCCCUGCCUUGAACUUCAGGCUCCCUGGCUUGGAUCCUGAUGCUGCUUUGCUGACACAAUCCAUUCUCCCAGGGAACACCCAGAGUUCCACUCCAGUCCUGGCAACGCUGCAGCAGAGGUAGCCUCAUUAGCUCCACAUUUGCCCCGCCUCACCUCUCCCCCUCUUCCCUACAGGCUCUAGUGCUGAGGUUCCACCAGGUAUCAUCCCUAAACCCACCCGCAAGUCAAACAAGACACAGAUAAGCCUAAUCUCGGGCUCAUUUUCCUUAUUUGUAGCAUUGAGAGGUUGUAGUAGGUGACUUCUAAAGUAGCUCCCUUCCAACACUAACAUUCUUUGUCUCUAAGUAGGCCAACUGUACAGAAAGUCUACAUUGGCUCGGAACAAUUGAGGCUGGGAGAGGGUGAGUCGGACUCAGAAAAAUGUCAAGCUAACUGUGCAGCCAGGAGCUUAGACAGCAGCAUGUCACUAGGCAGACAGCGGCUACAGACUCCUGCAAGAGAUUAGCCCGCCCAGACAUCGAUGGACAAGAUGCUGCUGUAUCCAGCUUAUUAGCCACAUUCAGCCAAGGAAUUAGCAAAUGUCACUUUGUCUUUCCAAAGGAAUGAGGAUUCUUUU